UACGAAGGGGGCUAGCGUUGCUCGGAAUCACUGGGCGUAAAGGGUGCGUAGGCGGGUCUUUAAGUCAGGGGUUAAAUCCUGGAGCUCAACUCCAGAACUGCCUUUGAUACUGAGAAGCUUGAGUCCGGGAGAGGUGAGUGGAACUGCGAGUGUAGAGGUGAAAUUCGUAGAUAUUCGCAAGAACACCAGUGGCGAAGGCGGCUCACUGGCCCGGUACUGACGCUGAGGUGCGAAAGCGUGGGGAGCAAACAGG
rnacentral:rRNA from 1 species